rnacentral:hammerhead_ribozyme from 1 species
AUUCAUCUGAUGAGUCUCAAAUAGGACGAAACGCGCGUCCUGGAU